AUAAAUAGCAAUGAGUAAUUCUUAUAAAUCAUAAGUCUUCAAUAUCUUCAUCUCUCAGGUAGGAAUGUGUGUAUAUAACUAAAAGUGUGCUUUUAUCUAGUUUAAGAUUCUCAACCUCAAGAGCCAGUCAUGAAUAAAGUAUUAUUAAUCCUGCUCUUCAUUCAUAUAAUAGCUUUAGAUGCAGUUCUUUCAACUUGUGCAAUAAUUUGUCCAGAAAUUGAAUGUGAGCCAGGUUACGUACCUAAGAGAGCUGGUUGCUGCUAUCAAUGUGUGAAAGAGCCAGAUGAUUGUCGAACUGAUUGUUCAGGAUCAUACAGCUGUCCAGCGAUACCAGCGGAAUGUCCAGAUGGUGAAGAAUUGGUAACACCAAUAUGUAGAUGCUGUCCAGAGUGCCAGAAAAUAUAGGUGCAUCAUACUCAUGGCAGUUAUACUGAAACAUUCUUGUAAAUGAAGUAAAAAUCAAUAAAGUAUUAAUAUCCUUGCUUUCGAAA
rnacentral:misc_RNA from 1 species